UUUUUCCUCUUUUAACCGCCUCUACAACCCUUAUCCGACCCCUCUAGACUAUAUCCACCCUUUGUAUAGCCUAAUGUCAUCAAAAGACUAGAUAGGGAUGGAUAUUUACCUUUUUCUUUUUGGAAAUCGAGGUCCUUGCGUAGAGGAGAAGGAGAUCUACGUUUUUCCCUUCAAUUGGAAGUGCAACCGGGAUCCCUUUCCCUCUCGAAUCCCCUUCCUCUUCUUCUUUC
rnacentral:lncRNA from 1 species